GUACGAAGGGGCUAGCGUUGUUCGGAAUUACUGGGCGUAAAGCGCGCGCAGGCGGUCUUCCAAGUCAGUGGUGAAAGCCCGGAGCUCAACUCCGGAACUGCCAUUGAAACUGUUAGACUUGAGGAUGAGAGAGGUGAGUGGAAUUCCCAGUGUAGAGGUGAAAUUCGUAGAUAUUGGGAAGAACACCGGUGGCGAAGGCGGCUCACUGGCUCAUUACUGACGCUCAGGCGCGAUAGCGUGGGAUCAAACAGG
rnacentral:rRNA from 1 species